NAUCAGGUUAAUAUCCGAUACGUCCUCUAUCCGAGGACAAUAUAUUAAAUGGAUUUUUGAACAUAGGAGAUGAAAUAGGAGCUUGCUCCACCCACUCCACACAUCAACCUGGUAUUGCAGUACUUCCAGGAAUAGUGC
rnacentral:snRNA from 1 species